UACAGAGGUGGCAAGCGUUGUUCGGAAUUACUGGGCGUAAAGGGCGCGUAGGCGGCUUGGUCAGUCCCGUGUGAAAUCCCUCGGCUCAACUGAGGAACUGCACGGGAAACUGCCUGGCUUGAGUUCGGGAGAGGGAAGCGGAAUUCCGGGUGUAGCGGUGAAAUGCGUAGAUAUCCGGAGGAACACCGGUGGCGAAGGCGGCCUCCUGGACCGACACUGACGCUGAGGCGCGAAAGCUAGGGGAGCGAACGGG
rnacentral:rRNA from 1 species